GGGGCCAGAGAGACCCAGAGUAAGAUUCUUUAGAUGCUUUGGGUUCUGCUUUAAAUCCCCAUCGUCCUUUCCAUUUCUGUCACUGCUUCCUUUCAGGCUUUGAAACUCUUGACACUAGAGAGGAGAAAAUGGCAGUCUUUGGAUUAGAGCUGGGAAAUCCUAGAGAAGGAAAAAUGAUCAACCAAUCAUAUUCUACAUUGUUUUUUCCUAGCCAAAGAACAGGUCAAAAACUGCAAAAUUCGACCUGCAAACUAUAUUUGGCUUAGACCAGGGUGGAGUGGGGCGGGAAUGAGUCUAAUUCCAAACAAGAGAAAAAUAAGUUUAGAUUUAUUGUCUAACCGACUCAGGAUUUCAGAGUAGAAAUGUUUCAGUUUGGCUGGCUUCUCUCCGCCAACACCAGGCAUUUCCAUUCCACAUGGGAAGAACAAAAUGAGGCAAACAAUCCACGAUUAAAUGAAAACAGGUGGAUAGGGAGCUGCAUUUAUGUUUACCACCUGGAGAAAGACUAUUUUCCUCUCGUGGUUUUUAUAGACUUGGGGGCUGUUGAAGAAAUCACACUGUCUAUAAAUUUAAUCAACACUCAUUAAGCUCAUUGGGAGAGAUUCCGUUAGGAAAACAACCUACAUGGAAAACAAGCCCUUUGUUUCUAUUGGAUUUUACAAUAGGGAGCACUCCAAGUUUAGACAUUAAGGUGAGAAGGAGCUAAGUAUAGAAAUUAUCUGGUAUGAUUGGAUUUGGGGGAGACUCUGAGUCUAUAGAGAGAUAAGCAUGUUUAUAGCAGAAGACUGAGAUUAGGCAGAUAUUUUAUUUUCUUCAACCACCCACCCCCCAAUAAUAACCUUACCAUCACCCUAUCCUCUUUCCCUACCACCAACAGAUUCCAUCCCCUGCCAGAUUCGCCCUCAGUUUCAUAGCUCUGCUCUAAAGAGCUGGCUUUUCAAAAUACCUCGUUCUGCAGCCUGAUGAUGUGAAGCUUACUGCUGAAUGUCCAGAAGCAGCAAAUGUUACAUAAUCCUAACUGCACACAGCACUGCAGAGCCUUAUCUCUGAAAAACAGCACUGAAAUGGCCACUUAAAACUCAAGUAAGCUCUCUUUCCAUACCAGACUGGUCUUUCUGUAAAGACCUUCCAGGAUAAAGCAGUCACUCUUCCGAAGCCCACUGCAAACUGGUUUCAACAUAAACACAUCUCAGGCGCCAGGAGCUACGCUGAGUGCGGCACGUAGUAUAAACAAGGGAAAGGGGAAGGGGAAGCUGCCAGACUCUUGCUGGGAGCUCCAGACCUUGCUUUGUUGGUGACCAUUUACUGUCUGUUAAGCUGAGUUACAGGGGAUAACUGUUAUCAGCUAGUACCCUAGAACUGGAACGCAGUUAAGUGUUGUUCUAAAGCUCAUGAUUUUUCCACUAUCCUAAAGUUUGAGAUGACUCAGAGGAAAUAAAUAUUUAGGUUAAUAUCAGCCAAAAUUCUAUGCACCAGAAGUAUUCUUAGAAAGAGAGAACACUGUUCACGUGGGAGAAAUUCUUUGAUACACCCAUCCCUCCACCCUGUUCCUGGUAAGAUUCUUUGUUCAUGAUGGGAUGCUGAAGGCAUGACGGACAAGAAAAGGGAUCUGUCCUGCUUCUGGGAGGGAGAAGGCAGGCAAGUGAGCAGAAAGUGUCUCAAGUCUUCUGUAGACUCCCCAGUGUUGAUGAGUGCUGCUAAGUCGUGUCCAACUCUCUGUGAGCCCUCCAGGCACCUCUGUCCACAGGAUUCUCCAGAUCUGGAUAUGUUCAAAGUGUCACUUUGUCAGAUGGCAGCAGGAAAGCCCAUCACCCUCGGAUAAACUUGAGCUCACAGGCAAAGCUCAGGACCCCAAAUCGAAAGGACCCUGGCGUGUCACCAGGGACUCAGGCAAGUGUGACUUUAUGACUUGCCAGAAUCAGUGUUCUUUCAACAGU